rnacentral:rRNA from 1 species
AUUGAACGCUGGCGGCAGGCUUAACACAUGCAAGUCGAGCGGGGUGAUGGUGCUUGCACUAUCACUUAGCGGCGGACGGGUGAGUAAUGCUUAGGAAUCUGCCUAUUAGUGGGGGACAACAUCUCGAAAGGGAUGCUAAUACCGCAUACGUCCUACGGGAGAAAGCAGGGGAUCACUUGUGACCUUGCGCUAAUAGAUGAGCCUAAGUCGGAUUAGCUAGUUGGUGGGGUAAAGGCCUACCAAGGCGACGAUAUGUAGCGGGUCUGAGAGGAGGAGCCGCAAAACUGGAGCUGGGACACGCCCCAGACUCCUACGGGAGGCAGCAGUAGGGAAUAUUGGACAAUGGGGGGAACCCUGAUCCAGCCAUGCCGCGUGUGUGAAGAAGGCCUUAUGGUUGUAAAGCACUUUAAGCGAGGAGGAGGCUCUUUUGGUUAAUACCCAAGAUGAGUGGACGUUACUCGCAGAAUAAGCACCGGCUAACUCUGUGCCAGCCGCCGCGGUAA